UGGGACUGAUGAGUUGCAAGAGCAAUUGGUCUUAAGCACAAACACUGCCUCAAUUUCCAACUAUGCAGAAGUCGAAUUCUCAUGAGAGUCCCAAAGCCAUGAGGUCAGUGUUAUGAAUGACUAUACUGAUGAAAGCAUCAUUUGUGAAUGCUAUUGGAAGAUUGGAGCCUGUAACAUUAUGUGUAGCAGAGCUUGCAGCUGAAUCUCCACAAGGCAUCCUUUGUACUCCUGACACUGUUGCUAAAUUUCAGGUUGGAUAUACGCCUGAUUAUCUUUUCUUUCUGCAAACAAUUCUGAGAUCAGAUCCCCAGGAUUGAUGGUAACUCAUGGAAAUGAUGCUCCUUUGGCCGUGAUGCUCCAAUCCGAGAGAAAAUAGUCACGUGGAAGGGGACCAUACUGAAACAGUUCAUGUGGAAGGCUAUGUGUCAGUUUGUUUGUUUUGAAAACUUUAACAUUAUUUGUUUUGUUGAUUGUUGUCUUGAUGGAUGUUUAAUGGGUGAAACAUGCACAAGUUCAAUCAUUGGUUGAUUAUAAUAUUAUUAGCUUUUGUUGAUA